ensembl:lncRNA LINC00293 long intergenic non-protein coding RNA 293
AAGCCCUGUCCAGGGGGAAUUUUGAUGUAUCACAAAAACCAGCAUCCAGUUGAUGUGACUCUUCUUCCAGGGUCCUGCCCACAAGAAAGAUUGUGACAUCUCACUGGACAAGCACCCACCCAGGUAAUGUGACUCUACAUUCCUGCCUGGGUCCUGCUCACCAAAGAAAUUGUGACUUACCGCUGAUUGCAAACCCUAAAUGAUGUGACUGUCCUUCAUAUUCUAGACUCUGCCAAGAGAGGGGAUUAUUACAUAUUGCAGAGCCCAGCACCUAGGUGGAGUGACUCUCAUCUUUUUCUUCUACCCCGUAUAUAGCCAGCUUGGUGACCUACUAUUUGAGUCUAUACCCAGGCCCAGACCACAGAUGAAAUUGUGCAAUAUGUGGAACAAACACCUAAACAAUAUAUAACACCUUCCUUGGCUCUGUCUACAAAGGGCACUUUUAUAUAUCACUGGGACCAUCAACCAGGUGAUGUUGUGCCAUAUAACUGAGACCGUAUCAAAAGCCUAAUAACAAGACGUAUGUCUGGAGCCCCGAUAUGCACAGGAUGGUGAUAUAACCCUCUUCUCUGGAAUGGGCCCCACACAAAGGAAGGAUAGUGACAUAUUGCAAGCCCAGGCACACAGGCCCAGAGCACAGUUGAAAUUGUGACAUAUGUACACCAAGCAACCAAGCAAUGUAUAACACCUCAUUUGGCAAUGGAAUCGAGGGCACUUUUACAUAUCACUGAGACCAGCGCCCAGCUGAUGUGAAAUAUUGGCCUGAACCCUGCCUACAAAAGCAUUGUGGCUUUUAUCUAGCUCCAUUACAUAAGUGAUGUGACUUCCUUCUACUGCCUUGGCCCUGCACUUAUGGUGAAUCGUGACACAAAAUUGGGUAGAGCAACCAGCCUGGGCCCUGACCAGCACAGAGAUUGAGGCAUAUUGCUGAACCCAGGACCAAGAUGAAGUCACUCUCCUGCCUUGAUCCUGCACACAGGGACCCUUGUGACAUAUAUACAGGCCAAUUGCCUAGGUGAUGUUGUGCAAUAUACCUGAGACCAGAUCAAUGGCCUAAUAAUGACUCUUUUACCUAGAGCCAGGACAUGUGCAGGAUGGUAACUCUCAUCCCUGAACCUUUCCACAGGUGUUAUUGUCACAUAUACCUUUUCCAGCUCCAAAGUGAUUUAAUAAUCCAGCCUAGUUAUAGCCCACAGAUAAUAUUUGGACAUAUACCUGAGUCAAGAACCUUGGUGAUUUGACUCUCAUGUCUUAACAGUGUCCUCAGAAGGGAUCAUAACAUAUCUCUGGACCCAUCAUCUAGGUUAUGUGACUCUCUUCUCCUGCCUGAACCCUGCUUCCAGUGAAGAGUGUUGCAUUUCUAAGCACUGCAUCCAAAUGACAUGAGUUUCUUGCCUGGGCCGUUUCAACAGAAGGCAUUGUGACAUAUCUCUAGGUCUAUCAUUUAGGUGAUAUGACUCUCCUCUCCUGCCUGGACACUCUCCACAAGGGGCAUUAUGCCAUAGAGCUAGAGCUAGCAACCAAGUUUUGUGAAUUUUCUGUUAGGGCCUUGCCUACAAAGAGAAUUUUGGAAUAUUUCUGGCUUAGAAUUUAAGUAAUGUGGUUGUUCUGCCUGUUCAGUAACCACAGAGGAGAAGGUGAAAUAUAUCUAGGCACCGCAAA